UACGUAGGGUGCGAGCGUUGUCCGGAAUUAUUGGGCGUAAAGAGCUCGUAGGCGGUGUGUCGCGUCGGUCGUGAAAACUUUCAGCUUAACUGGGAGCUUGCGGUCGAUACGGGCAUCACUGGAGUUCGGCAGGGGAGACUGGAAUUCCUGGUGUAGCGGUGAAAUGCGCAGAUAUCAGGAGGAACACCGGUGGCGGAGGCGGGUCUCUGGGCCGAUACUGACGCUGAGGAGCGAAAGCGUGGGGAGCGAACAGG
rnacentral:rRNA from 1 species